CGUAGGGGGCCAGCGUUGUUCGGAAUUACUGGGUGUAAAGGGUUCGUAGGCGGUGCGGCAAGUUGGGAGUGAAAUCUCUGGGCUUAACCCAGAGGCUGCUUCCAAAACUGCUGUGCUUGAGUGUGGGAGAGGCGCGUGGAAUUGCAGGUGUAGCGGUGAAAUGCGUAGAUAUCUGCAGGAACACCCGUGGCGAAAGCGGCGCGCUGGACCACUACUGACGCUGAGGAACGAAAGCUAGGGGAGCAAACAGG
rnacentral:rRNA from 1 species